GAUCUGCAUGUCACAGCACUCCGGGGUCAAGCCCCCUGCCCACAAUCAAGCAGGAUUUGAACCCACAUUUAUUCAAUCCCAGCACUCUCUCUAGGAAAAAUGCCUACAGAGCAGUGGGACACAGAGCUCUGCUGGCCGCCUCCGACGAGGAUCUAAUGGCUUUUCCAGGAGCGCACCCCAUCACCACCCCCAGACAACUCAGAUGGCUUCCCCUCCCCUUUUGUCUUCUGGGCUGCGCCCCAGCACCCACCAGUCUCUUUUUCUAGCCAGGGUGGGGCCUCCCAGGGCUUAUGGGCUCUGGGCCCAGGGCUCGCUUCCUUUCUUGGCAGCUGCUAGAAAUCUCCAGUUUCUGGCCUACUAAAACCCUUCCAUUUAUUUAUUUAUUUUUUUUGCCUGCUCCAGGGAAAGUUUUGAUUGGCUUCAGCUGGGAUGACCUCAUCCUCUCUAGAUUUUGGUGGCGUUCCCAUUUUCCACAUCUCCGCCUUUAUCCAAGGAAUUCCCUUCUGACUGUCUUUUCUCUAAAGGUCGCCCCACCCGCGUCUUCCUGGGCUUUGGAAUUCCCCAUCCUCACUUGGGAAGGCAAGUGGGCCGUGGACUCUCACCGUCUCCCCACCACUGCCCUCCUGGGUCGUCUUGACUGCCCCCAGCUCUGGCAAGUGCCUCCUGCAGGAUCCCAGCCUCCCCUGCAGGGAUCCUUUGCUCAUUCGCCCCUCCCCCGACUGAUCUCUGCUGUAUAUUCAGGACUCACAG
rnacentral:lncRNA from 1 species